CAUCUACUCCCUCCGUCCUAAUAUUAUUGUCUUACAUUUGUCUAUAUAUAAAUGUAUCUAGUCACUUUUUAGUAUUUAGAUACAUCCUUUUUUAGACAAUCCUAAGACAAGAAUUUUAAGACGGAGGGAAUACAAU
rfam:Hordeum vulgare subsp. vulgare, WGS project CAJW01000000 data, contig: morex_contig_88949